ensembl:lncRNA
AUCUGUUGGAGCUGGUCAGUAUGUUUAUGUAAUCGUGUCAAACACGACUUUAAAGAAUAAAAAUGUGCACGUAGUAAAACUGCAUAAACCUAAUGUUAAGUUGAAGUGUACUCUUAGAUAGCUAACAUUAGCUGGCUGGCUCGCUAGCUGAUGUAAUGUGUAUGCUCUCCACUUUCUGGAGGACUGAGUUUUGAAAUCAGUGGAAUUUGAGUAUGAUAGCUAAGGAGAUGGAGAAAACAACAGUCUGGAUAACAUCGUCAAACUAAGGCAACCAUGCAUGGCAUCAGACAGGAGACGCGUCCAACCUAUUCUGGUGGACUGGAUCUUUAUAUUUACCACCUGGGUCCUUGCUGAGUCUACCAUUUCUAUUGGAGUACUUGAAGCAUGUUAAUAACUGACCUUGGAGUACAUUGACAAAUAUUUUAUAUACCUCUACUAGUAU